UCUCGAACGAUCUCGGAAUCGCUAUUGCGACCCCAAUCCGGAAAGCUCUUUCCGAGCCCCACGAUACUGACUGUGUAGCUGUAACACCCCUCAAUUCCGAAUGUUCGUAUAAAUCUUUGGUGAUAAUGUAAGCAUCUAUUUUAAUUGACAAAAGAAAUAGAGUAUGAAUCAGAGGUAACUUAUUUUUAAGAUUUGGGAGAUCUGUUCAAAAAAAAAAAAAGAAAAAAAAAGAAAGAAUCUGAGGACCUAUAUGUAAACCCUAAGGACCUAAUCGUGAAUAUGAUAAAAACAAGGACUAAACUGCAAAAUGCACCAAAUGACAAAUUCCACCGCUUAAGCCUCUCUGCCUUCGUUGUUAAGGAAGCAGAGGAGGCAGCUCGUGGGUGAUCAGGGAAAGAAAAGAAGAAGAAGAAGAAGAAGAAGAAGAAGGAGAAGAGAAAGAAAAUUUGGGGCUUUUAGGGUUUUUGCUUUAAUCUUGUUACUUCGGGUCAAAAUUUGCAAAGGAUAGCGUAACUCUUGCUUAAAUGUUAAGAAUGGGCUGAGGCAGCGGAAAGUUUAGAAGACGUUGGGCAGAACUUUUGUUAGCAUAUAUGUAGUUGUGUAUAAGCUACCUUGCAUCUAAUGAAAUGUGACUAUGAAUCUAAACCUGUGGAUUUUGUGUAAGUUAAAGGAUCCCUCAUGUAUAGGGUUUUGGAAUGUUAAAUUAAAUUGUGUAAUGAUAUGAACUUAUGGUAAA